UCGAGACCGAAAUAAGAGAUCGAGCGAUUCGGAGAACAAGUCACAUACGCGGCGGCGAUUGC
rnacentral:rRNA from 1 species